GUCACGUGCUUUGCAUGAAUCCUCACACGUCUCACCAGGGGCGGUCUCCCCGUUUCACCAGUGACUUGGUGACAACCAGCCUUGCUCAGGAAGCGGCAGCCGUGUCCUUUCUGUGUGCAGUGGGGUGUGGGUUGUGUGGAGCCGAGGUGUCUGUGAAGUUCACAGGCUGGGGUCGGAAUCCAUGGCCCCCGUCGCCGCUGCCACCCCCCAGGAUACAAGUGGAGGACAGAAAUGAGGCAGAAGUGAUAAGUUGAAGAGCAUGGCCAAGAAUUUUCCGAAACAGUGGAGAAACCUGGCAGACAUCAUCUUAGCCAAGUGGUAAACAUUAACAUCAGCAGUAAUGGGACAAGUUGACAUUGUGUGACUCCUAAUAUGGUACAGAGAAGAACAUCGCAUCUUUUCUGUGGUAUUCCCACCAAAGAUGCAUAAAUCAUGAGGAAACAGCAGACAAAUCCAAACUGAAGACAACCUACAAAGUCAUUGACCUGUAUUUUUCAAAAAUCAUGGCCAGAGAAGGGAAGCCUGAAGAAUUUUUCUAGAAUAAAUUAGACUGAAGAGACUCCUUGGAGGUGACUGAAUUGGAUCCUGGGCCUGUAAAGAUGGAAUCUCACUUUGUUGCCCAGGCUGGAGUGCAGUGGCGCGAUCUUGGCUCACCGCAACCUUCACCACC
rnacentral:lncRNA from 1 species